GACCUGCCCGCUGAUAAUUGAAUGGCCGCAGUAAUUUGACUGUGCAAAGGUAGCAUAAUCAUUAGUUUUUUAAUUAAAAGCUUGUAUGAAUGGUUGGACGAAAUAAAUUCUGUCUCUUUUUAAUAAUUAGAAUUUAAUUUUUAAGUUAAAAAGCUUAAAUGGUGAUAAAAGACGAGAAGACCCCAUAGAUUUUUAUAAUUUUAUUUAUAUUUUUGAUUAGGAAUAUUUUAUUGAUUAUAGAUUUAAUUAUUAUAUUGGGGUAAUAGGAAGAUUAAUUUAAUUCUUUUUAAUUUUUUUCAAUAAUGUUUGAUUAUUUGAUCCUUUUUUAAAGAUUAUAAGAUUAAGUUACCUUGGGGAUAACAGCGUAAUUUUUUUAGAGAGUUCUUAUCGAUAAAAAAGUUUGCGACCUCGAUGUUGGAUUAAAAAUUAUUCUGGGUGUAGAAG
rnacentral:rRNA from 1 species